rnacentral:rRNA from 1 species
GAAUCAGUGUGUGUGUUAGUGGAAGCGUCUGGAAAGGCGCGCGAUACAGGGUGACAGCCCCGUACACAAAAAUGCACAUGCUGUGAGCUCGAUGAGUAGGGCGGGACACGUGGUAUCCUGUCUGAAUAUGGGGGGACCAUCCUCCAAGGCUAAAUACUCCUGACUGACCGAUAGUGAACCAGUACCGUGAGGGAAAGGCGAAAAGAACCCCGGCGAGGGGAGUGAAAAAGAACCUGAAACCGUGUACGUACAAGCAGUGGGAGCACGCUUAGGCGUGUGACUGCGUACCUUUUGUAUAAUGGGUCAGCGACUUAUAUUCUGUAGCAAGGUUAACCGAAUAGGGGAGCCGAAGGGAAACCGAGUCUUAACUGGGCGUUAAGUUGCAGGGUAUAGACCCGAAACCCGGUGAUCUAGCCAUGGGCAGGUUGAAGGUUGGGUAACACUAACUGGAGGACCGAACCGACUAAUGUUGAAAAAUUAGCGGAUGACUUGUGGCUGGGGGUGAAAGGCCAAUCAAACCGGGAGAUAGCUGGUUCUCCCCGAAAGCUAUUUAGGUAGCGCCUCGUGAAUUCAUCUCCGGGGGUAGAGCACUGUUUCGGCAAGGGGGUCAUCCCGACUUACCAACCCGAUGCAAACUGCGAAUACCGGAGAAUGUUAUCACGGGAGACACACGGCGGGUGCUAA